rnacentral:rRNA from 1 species
UACGAAGGGAGCUAGCGUUGUUCGGAAUUACUGGGCGUAAAGGGUGCGUAGGCGGUAUAAUUAGUCAGAUGUGAAAGCCCAAGGCUCAACCUUGGAAUUGCGUUUGAUACUAUUAUUCUUGAAUUCGGGAGAGGUGAGUGGAAUUCCCAGUGUAGAGGUGAAAUUCGUAGAGAUUGGGAAGAACACCGGUGGCGAAGGCGGCUCACUGGACCGAUAUUGACGCUGAGGCACGAAAGUGUGGGGAGCAAACAGG